AUGCUCAAAACUCUCCAAGCCAGGCUUCAGCAAUAUGUGAACCGUGAACUUCCUGACGUUCAAGCUGGUUUUAGAAAAGGCAGAGGAACCAGAGAUCAAAUUGCCAACAUCCGCUGGAUCAUGAAAAAAGCAAGAGACUUGCAGAAAAACAUCUAUUUCUGCUUUAUUGACUAUGCCAAAGCCUUUGACUGUGUGGAUCACAAUAAACUGUGGAAAAUUCUGAAAGAGAUGGGAAUACCAGACCACCUGACCUGCCUCUUGAGAAAUCUGUAUGCAGGUCAGGAAGCAACAGUUAGAACUGGACAUGGAACAACAGACUGGUUCCAAAUAGGAAAAGGAGUACGUCAAGGCUGUAUAUUGUCAUUCUGCUUAUUUAACUUCUAUGCAGAGUACAUCAUGAGAAACGCUGGACUGGAAGAAACACAAGCUGGAAUCAAGAUUGCUGGGAGAAACAUCAAUAACCCCAGAUAUGCAGAUGAUACCACCCUUAUGGCAGAAAGUGAAGAGGAGCUAAAAAGCCUCUUGAUGAAAGUGAAAGAGGAGAGUGAAAAAGUUGGCUUAAAGCUCAACAUUCAGAAAAUGAAGAUCAUGGCAUCCGGUCCCAUCACUUCAUGGGAAAUAGAUGGGGAAACAGUGGAAACAGUGUCAGACUUUAUUAUUUUGGCCCCCAAAAUCACUGCAUAUUGUGAUUGCAGCCAUGAAAUUAAAAGACGCUUACUCCUUGGAAGAAAAGUUAUGACCAACCUAGAUAGUAUAUUCAAAAGCAGAGACAUUACUUUGCCGACUAAGGUCUGUCUAGUCGAGGCUAUGGUUUUUCCUGUGGUCAUGUAUGGAUGUGAGAGUUGGACUGUGAAGAAGGCUGAGCGCCGAAGAAUUGAUGCUUUUGAACUGUGGUGUUGGAGAAGACUCUUGAGAGUCCCUUGGACUGCAAGGAGAUCCAACCAGUCCAUUCUGCAGGAGAUCAACCCUGGGAUUUCUUUGGAAGGAAUGAUGCUAAAGCUGAAAUUCCAGUACUUUGGCCACCUCAUGAGAAGAGUUGACUCAUUGGAAAAAAUUCUGAUGCUGUGA
rnacentral:lncRNA from 1 species